UUUAUACACUUGCAGUGGAUGCAGCCCAUAAGCAUGUUCAAGUUUAUACAAUCAAAUCAGCUGAUUAGAUGCAAGCAAACAUUUAUCUGGGUGAAUCGAACAGAAAUCAAUUGAGCAGCAACACGCAUUCAGAAUCCGAGGAUGAGCAAACAAGGGAAGUGGACGGCAUUCCGAUCAAAA